rnacentral:rRNA from 1 species
UGGUAAUGCCGGAUGCUCCAUCUCACCGCAUGGUGUUCUGGGAAAGCCUUUGCGGCAUGGGAUGGGGUCGCGUCCUAUCAGCUUGAUGGCGGGGUAACGGCCCACCAUGGCUUCGACGGGUAGCCGGCCUGAGAGGGCGACCGGCCACAUUGGGACUGAGAUACGGCCCAGACUCCUACGGGAGGCAGCAGUGGGGAAUAUUGCACAAUGGGCGCAAGCCUGAUGCAGCGACGCCGCGUGAGGGAUGGAGGCCUUCGGGUUGUAAACCUCUUUUGUUAGGGAGCAAGGCAUUUUGUGUUGAGUGUACCUUUCGAAUAAGCACCGGCUAACUACGUGCCAGCAGCCGCGGUAAUACGUAGGGUGCAAGCGUUAUCCGGAAUUAUUGGGCGUAAAGGGCUCGUAGGCGGUUCGUCGCGUCCGGUGUGAAAGUCCAUCGCUUAACGGUGGAUCCGCGCCGGGUACGGGCGGGCUUGAGUGCGGUAGGGGAGACUGGAAUUCCCGGUGUAACGGUGGAAUGUGUAGAUAUCGG